rnacentral:misc_RNA from 1 species
UUUCCGUAGGUGAACCUGCGGAAGGAUCAUUAAUGAACAUUAUAACAAAACGCCACAGUCAAAUGUGCACGUGUGUUUUUUCAAUCUCUUUUUUUCAUUUUUUUUUGAUUUUAUUCUUUUUUUAUAUAAAAAAAAAGAAGAGGAAAGAAUUAAAGUGAAAAAAAAAAAGAAAUAUGAAAAAAUCAAAAAACUUUUAAAACCCUUUAUAAAAUAAAACAUAGUUUGUCAAUUAUUAUUGUUUCUUUUUUUUUCACAUGACUUUUAUCAAUUGAAAAAAAAGAGAGAUGUAAAAUAUAAAAUUAAAAAAAAAACUUUUAACAACGGAUCUCUUGGCUCUC